UUCACGGCGUUCUCGAACUCC
rnacentral:miRNA from 1 species